UCCACGAAACAGUCACGAGUCGGAUAUUGGGCGUAAGCGCGCGCAGGCGGUCCCUUAAGUCUGAUGUGAAAGCCCACGGCUCAACCGUGGAGGGUCAUUGGAAACUGGGGGACUUGAGUGCAGAAGAGGAAAGUGGAAUUCCACGUGUAGCGGUGAAAUGCGUAGAGAUGUGGAGGAACACCAGUGGCGAAGGCGACUUUCUGGUCUGUAACUGACGCUGAGGCGCGAAAGCGUGGGGAGCAAACAGGAUUAGAUACCCCCGGUAGUCCUA
rnacentral:rRNA from 1 species